GACGAACGCUGGCGGCGUGCUUAACACAUGCAAGUCGAACGGAAAGGCCCAGCUUGCUGGGUGCUCGAGUGGCGAACGGGUGAGUAACACGUGGGUGAUCUGCCCCUAACUUCGGGAUAAGCUUGGGAAACUGGGUCUAAUACCGGAUAGGACAAUCGUUUAGUGUCGGUUGUGGAAAGUUUUUUCGGUUAGGGAUGAGCCCGCGGCCUAUCAGCUUGUUGGUGGGGUAAUGGCCUACCAAGGCGUCGACGGGUAGCCGGCCUGAGAGGGUGGACGGCCACAUUGGGACUGAGAUACGGCCCAGACUCCUACGGGAGGCAGCAGUGGGGAAUAUUGCACAAUGGGCGCAAGCCUGAUGCAGCGACGCCGCGUGGGGGAUGACGGCCUUCGGGUUGUAAACCUCUUUCGACAGGGACGAAGCUUUAGUGACGGUACCUGUAUAAGAAGCACCGGCUAACUACGUG
rnacentral:rRNA from 1 species